rnacentral:tRNA from 1 species
GGGUAUAGUUUAGUGGUCAAGCAUUUGCCUAGCAUGCAUGAAGCCCUGGGUUUGAUCCCCAGCACUGCA